CAGUGCAACACCUCGGGCCAGUUUCCCGAACAAAGUUUAAGCCUAUAAUCCUGAACUAAAAAUAACUUUCAAUUAAGAUUAUCAGUUGAGCAUGUUUUGUUUUGAAGAUGGAAUCCGCAUUGAGCACACGGUCGGCCCAACCGCUGUUUUUUUUGUUGUUGCUUUGUUGACACAGCAUUGGUGAGGAGCGUCGUUGUCACGACUUCCACCGAAGUUGUUCCCUCUCCUUGUUUGGGCGGUGUUCGGCGGUCGACGUCACCGGCUUUCUAGCCGCCACCGAUCCAUGUUUCAUUUUUCCUUUUGUUUUGUCUGUUUACACACCUGGUUCCCAUCUCAUAAUUAUGUUCCUUAUUUAACCCUCUGGUUUCCCUUUCUGUUUUGUGCGUGAUUGUCUUUUGUGUAUUCCGGUGCGUUGUAUUUUGUGUUCUGUUUUGUCCUUGUUUGGUAACGGGAUUUUGUUACGUUUUUGGAUUGAGUAAAUCAGUUAUUGUUACUCUUUCCUGUGUCCUGCGCCUGACUCCUUCGCUAUCUUUUAGAUAGACUCUGACAGAAUCACGCACCUACAACAUGGAGUCAGCAGGUGCAGCCAGCCCUCCGCUUCAAAUGGAGGAGCGCGUUCAGCAGCACACAACCAUGCUGCAGAGUCUGGGUACAGCCAUGGAUCGCGUGCUGCAAACCAUGGACCGAUUGGAGAGAGGGGAUUUUCCUGUGAACCCUGUGUCGUCUCCUCAGGUUCCACCACUACCUACCGUGAUGUCCACCUCUCCGUCAUCAGGAUCCGGUGGGAUUCAGCUCUCGCUCCCGAGGGCGUAUGAUGGGACAGCUGCCGGGUGUCAGGGGUUCCUACUCCAGCUGGAGCUCUACCUGGCAUCUGUCCAGCCAGCCCCUUCGGGACGCGAGAGAGUGAGCGCCCUCAUCUCCUGACCGGUAAAGCCCUGGAAUGGGCCAACGCCAUCUGGGGCAGGGAAGGUCAGACGUUGGAUGAUUAUGAGGAGUUCGCCCGCCGUUUCUGGGCGGUAUUUGAUCAUCCCCUGGAGGGGAGAGCGGCGGGGGAAUGCCUAUUUCAUCUACGUCAGGGGAUGAGGAGCGCUCAAGAUUUUGCGCUGGCCUUUAGAACUCUGGCGGCCGGCGUGGGAUGGAAUGAACGGGCACUGAUCGAUCACUACAGGUGUAGCUUACGAGAGGACGUUCGUCGGGAGCUAGCCUGCAGGGACACCACCCUUACACUGGACCAGCUGGUGGACCUAUCGAUCCGGUUGGAUAACCUGUUGGCCUCCCGCGGACGUCCUGACCGGGGUCCGUCAGUUCCAUCCCCCAGCGCUCCUGAUCCAACGCCUAUGGAGUUGGGAGGCGCCGCAACGAGGGGGACCGGAGGGGGGACCAUUCCCUGCACCCAUUCCCUGCACCAACUGUGGCCGCAGAGGGCACACUGCUGGUCGGUGCUGGGUGGGUUCCCCAGGAGGUAGAGGUAGCAGGCGGCGUGCUGGUGGGUCAUCCCAGGCCGGUGGUGGCUGGUCCGCUCCAGCAGUCUGAGGUGCGGGAGGUUCCUCCGCCCCCUCUGGACAUUGAGGGGGUCCCGGCGUAAACAGUGCGAGCCAUUAUGGACUCAAGGCGUCGGGCGAGAGGCCGUCAGUACCUCGUGGAGUGGGAGGGGUACGGCCCGGAGGAGAGAUGCUGGGUACCGGUGGGGGACAUCCUGGACCCAUCGUUACUCUAGGAAUUUCACCGACUCCAUCCGGAUCGCCCUGCGUCUCAUCCCCGGGUCGUCGGCGCGCUGCUGGAGCCGCGCGUCAAGGGGGGGGUACUGUCACGACUUCCACCGAAGUUGUUCCCUCUCCUUGUUCGGGCGGUGUUCGGUGGUCGACGUCACCGGCUUUCUAGCCGCCACCGAUCCAUGUUUAAUUUUUCCUUUUGUUUUGUCUGUUUACACACCUGGUUCCCAUCUCAUAAUUAUGUUCCUUAUUUAUUAACCCUCUGUUUUUGGAUUGAGUAAAUCAGUUAUUGUUACUCUUACCUGUGUCCUGCGCCUGACUCCUUCACUAUCUUUUAGAUGCAAUGUGGUAAAAAGGAAAAUGCAGUACGUAUUGUGCUGUUCUAUAGGGUGCGCAAGGAUAUCCGACUGAAAAGUAUAAAUUGUUUGCAGUAACGUUUUUGUUCUAAUAUCGCAAAUGUUCGUGCCAGUUUUAAAGUCCAGUACUAGGCUUAAUCUGUGUCUGGGAAACUAGUCCUUCAUAAGCCAGCAAAUGCUAUUCUAAUGCUAUUUUUUAUUGUUAUGCGUUGUGAUUGUAAUAAAACAUUUACAUGAAA